rnacentral:rRNA from 1 species
AGAUUUCGGUCAAAUCAUGUGCAUCCUUUGUGGCGGACGGGUGAGUAACGCGUGGGUAACCUGCCUUACACAGGGGGAUAACACUUAGAAAUAGGUGCUAAUACCGCAUGAGCGCACAGGACCGCAUGGUCGAGUGUGAAAAACUGAGGUGGUGUAAGAUGGACCCGCGUCUGAUUAGCUAGUUGGUGAGGUAACGGCCCACCAAGGCGACGAUCAGUAGCCGGCCUGAGAGGGUGGACGGCCACAUUGGGACUGAGACACGGCCCAAACUCCUACGGGAGGCAGCAGUGGGGGAUAUUGGACAAUGGGGGGAACCCUGAUCCAGCGACGCCGCGUGAGUGAAGAAGUAUCUCGGUAUGUAAAGCUCUAUCAGCAGGGAAGAAGAAAUGACGGUACCUGAGUAAGAAGCCCCGGCUAACUACGUGCCAGCAGCCGCGGUAAUACGUAGGGGGCAAGCGUUAUCCGGAAUUACUGGGUGUAAAGGGAGCGUAGACGGUGAUGUAAGUCUGGAGUGAAAGGCGGGGGCCCAACCCCCGGACUGCUCUGGAAACUAUGUGACUGGAGUGCAGGAGAGGUGAGCGGAAUUCCUAGUGUAGCGGUGAAAUGCGUAGAUAUUAGGAGGAACACCAGUGGCGAAGGCGGCUCACUGGACUGUAACUGACGUUGAGGCUCGAAAGCGUGGGGAGCAAACAGGAUUAGAUACCCUGGUAGUCCACGCCGUAAACGAUGAUCACUAGGUGUGGGUGGGUAUGGACCCAUCGGUGCCGCAGCAAACGCAAUAAGUGAUCCACCUGGGGAGUACGUUCGCAAGAAUGAAACUCAAAG